GCGGCCGUUAGUCCUUGUUUUUGGGUGCUUUAGAAUCAGGAUUCUGGGGCUUCCCAAGCUGAACGUCGUGAGUUCGAAUCUCAUCGGCCGCU
rnacentral:tRNA from 1 species